rnacentral:rRNA from 2 species
CCCGAGGAAAAGAAAUCAACCGAGAUUCCCCCAGUAGCGGCGAGCGAACGGGGAGGAGCCCAGAGCCUGAAUCAGCAUGUGUGUUAGUGGAAGCGUCUGGAAAGGCGCGCGAUACAGGGUGACAGCCCCGUACACAAAAGCGCAUGUGCUGUGAGCUCGAUGAGUAGGGCGGGACACGUGGUAUCCUGUCUGAAUAUGGGGGGACCAUCCUCCAAGGCUAAAUACUCCUGACUGACCGAUAGUGAACCAGUACCGUGAGGGAAAGGCGAAAAGAACCCCGGCGAGGGGAGUGAAAAAGAACCUGAAACCGUGUACGUACAAGCAGUGGGAGCACAGGUUUACCUGUGUGACUGCGUACCUUUUGUAUAAUGGGUCAGCGACUUAUAUUCUGUAGCAAGGUUAAC